UGAGGAAUAUUGGUCAAUGGGCGCAAGCCUGAACCAGCCAUCCCGCGUGAAGGAUGAAGGUCCUAUGGCUUGUAAACUUCUUUUAUACACCAAGAAAAAGCAGGACGUGUCCUGCCCCGACGGUAGUGUAUGAAUAAGCAUCGGCUAACUCCGUGCCAGCAGCCGCGGUAAUACGGAGGAUGCAAGCGUCAUCCGGAUUCAUUGGGUUUAAAGGGUGCGUAGGCGGCUUUUUAAGUCAGUGGUGAAAUCCUGCCGCUUAACGGUAGAAUUGCCAUUGAUACUGAGAAGCUUGAGUACAAUUGAGGUAGGCGGAAUGUGUAGUGUAGCGGUGAAAUGCUUAGAUAUUACACAGAACACCAGUUGCGAAGGCAGCUUACUAAACUGUUACUGACGCUGAUGCACGAAAGCGUGGGGAAAGAACA
rnacentral:rRNA from 1 species